GACGAACGCUGGCGGCGUGCUUAACACAUGCAAGUCGAACGGUGAAAGCGGAGCUUGCUCCGCUGGAUCAGUGGCGAACGGGUGAGUAACACGUGGGCAACCUGCCCCUCACUUCGGGAUAACUCCGGGAAACCGGGGCUAAUACCGGAUAUGACCUCCUUGGGCAUCCUUGGAGGUGGAAAGUUUUUCGGUGAGGGAUGGGCCCGCGGCCUAUCAGCUUGUUGGUGAGGUAGUGGCUCACCAAGUCGACGAUCGUUAACUGGUCUGAGAGGAUGAUCAGUCAGACUGGAACUGAGACACGGUCCAGACUCCUACGGGAGGCAGCGGUGGGGAAUAUUGCACAAUGGGCGAAAGCCUGAUGCAGCAACGCCGCGUGAGGGAUGAAGGCCUUCGGGUUGUAAACCUCUUUCAGUAGGGACGAAGCGAAAGUGACGGUACCUAAAGAAGAAGCACCGGCUAACUACGUGCCAGCAGCCGCAGUAA
rnacentral:rRNA from 1 species